UUUUCUCCCAUUGGGGAUCAAAAAAGGAACAUCUGAUCUUAUCUUAUUUACAUGUGAGUCGAUGUGGGUCUGCACACUCACAGUAACUACUUUCUGACAAAUGAGUUACCAAUUAAAUCUCCUGUCACUCAGGGAAAUUCUUGAUGGGCCUUUCUGAGAUUGUUACACCCACACAAGUGGCCAAAAGUGGGACAACCGUAAACGGAAAUAUAAGGAGUUGAGAAGUCUUGCAACUGGGAGGGGGACCGACAGGGGAGAGGCCACAGCAGCCACAUGGCCGUAUUUUGCGGCCAUGCAUGAGGCCAUCGACGGAGGCCAUCCAUUGAUCCUCCCAUCCUGAUGGACUCAGCAUCAACAUCAAACAUGUUGGUGGCUCAACAUCCUUCACUUUUUCAAACUACAUUCACAGUGACAGAGGUGAUCAUGGUCAUAUUGAAACUGAACAUCAGCACGUAAGAAUUUCUGAUUUUUCAGUCUCGACCUCAAAUGGUUCUGUCCAUAAGCAAAACCUGCAGCCUGCUUACAGUAAUGCAUCAUGACUCAACACUGAACAUAAAACUUCAUAUCACAUGAGUCUAUUUUGACAUGCCAUACAAUUUGUAAUGAUGACCUGUGGAUCUGUAAGCCCUUUGAGAUUAUAACAGUAAGGACUCUUAAACUCAUAAACUUUAGCAUUGUAAAUGGUAAACGGACCUGUACUUGUAUAGCGCCUUUCUAGUCUUCCGACCACUCAAAAUGCUUUUACACUACAUGCCACGUUCACCCUUUCACACACUCACACAGAGAUGGCAAAGUCCAUUGAACAGAAACUAACAUACAUAUUCACACACCGAUGCACGGCAUCAGCAGCAAUUUGGGGUUCAGUAUCUUGCUCAAGGAUACUUCGUCAUGUGGUACCAGGAGCCGGGGAUCAAACCCACAACUUUCUGAUUAGGGAACGACCGGCUCUGCCUCUGAGCCACAGCCGCCCCAACAUGAAAAAUAAGAAGACAAAAUCUGAGUUCUGCAUGUGGCCAGUGCUCAGAAGCUGUAUUAUCUGUCAAAAAGAUUAAACGUAACACCCUAAGGACAAUAAUAACUGGCCAUAAAUUAACAUAAUCUCGUCACAUAAUCAUCACACAAUCAUUCAACUCCACAGGGCUAUGGACAGGAGCCGAGAGCUGGUCUGCCAGUCUGUCUCGCCGGCCAUUUCCACAUUGUUCCACUCUCUCGAGGCAUUUCACCCUCUUCAGUGGGCUCUGUGAUGUCUGCAGUAAGACGAAGUGAUGUCUGCAGUAAGAGAUGUUGUGGAGGACACAGCAAGCAGUGAUAACAGCAGGAACAAAGGCAUGGUCCACCGCCAAGGCCUUAAAUUGUAGACACCUCCAUCUCACCUUCACACCAUGCUCCUCUCCUGUGGAACCAGCUUCCAGUUGUGGUUCGGGAGGCAGACACCCUCACCACAUUCAAGAGUAGGCUUAAGACAUUCCUCUUUGAUAAAGCUUAUAGUUAGGGCUGGAUCAGGUGAGUCCUGAACCAUCCCUUAGUUAUGCUGCUAUAGGCCUAGACUAUCGGGGGAUUUCCCAUGGUGCACUGAGCUACUCUCUUCCUCUCUCUUUCUGCACUCAUUCAUGUCCCAUUAAUGCAUGUUACUAACUCCACUUCUUCCCCGGAGUUCUUGUGCUUUCUCGUCUCGCAGGUUCUCAUGGAUCCUGGUGGAGCCUCCUGCCAUGGUCCUGCUUGACUGCCAUUGCCAAUACUGUUGUUGCUGUGCACCUGUCUGUCUGUCUGUCUCUCUCUCUCUCUCUCUCUCUCUCUCUCUCUCUCUCUCUCUCUCUCUCUCUCUCUCACCCUCACCCCAACUGGUCGAGACAGACGACCACCCACCUAGAGCCGGAGGAUCUGUCCUAGGUUUCUGCCUUUUAACAGGCAGUUUUUCCUUGCCCUUGUCGCCAAGUGCUUGCUCAUGGUGGUACUGUUGGGUCUCUGUAAUUAAUGUUAAAGAGUUCGGUCUAGACCUGCUCUAUUUGAAAAGUGUCCUGAGAUAACUUCUGUUAUGAAUUGGCGCUAUACAAAUAAAAUUGAAUUGAAUUGAA